GGCAGGGUAGCACAGCGGUUAAGGUGCCGGACUUGUAACCGAAAGGUUGCCGGUUCGAUUCCCCCCGCUGGGG